rnacentral:sRNA from 1 species
CAAUAGCCCCGAUAGGAACGGCAUCCUUUUUUGUCUUAGUGCAAAUGUUCUAUUGUUUACGAAACGUCGAGGACAAAAAAGAUAUAGUGGAUAGCGGGAAAUAGC